CGCAAGCCUGAUGCAGCCAUGCCGCGUGUAUGAAGAAGGCCUUACGGGUUGUAAAGGUACUUUCAGCAGUGAGGAAGGUGGAUAUGGUUAAUAGCAUAUUCAUUUGACGUUAGCUGCAGAAGAAGCACCGGCUAACUCCGUGCCAGCAGCCGCGGUAAUACGGAGGGUGCGAGCGUUAAUCGGAAUUACUGGGCGUAAAGCGCAUGCAGGUGGUUUGUUAAGUCAGAUGUGAAAGCCCCGGGGCGUCAACCUCGGAAUUGCAUUUUGAAAACUGGCAAACUAGAGUACUGUAGAGGGGGUAGGAAUUUCAGGUGUAGCGGUGAAAUGCGUAGAGAUCUGAAGGAAUACCGGUGGCGAAGGCGGCCCCCUGGACCAGAUAACUGACACUCAGAUGCGAAAGACGUGGGGAGCAAACAGGAUUAGAUACCCUGGUAG
rnacentral:rRNA from 1 species